rnacentral:rRNA from 1 species
CGCUGGCGGCUGCCUAAUACAUGCAAGUAGAACGCUGAAGAGAGGAGCUUGCUCUUCUUGGAAGAGUUGCGAACGGGUGAGUAACGCGUAGGUAACCUGCCUUGUAGCGGGGGAUAACUAUUGGAAACGAUAGCUAAUACCGCAUAACAAUGGGUGACCCAUGUCAUUCAUUUGAAAGGGGCAACUGCUCCACUACAAGAUGGACCUGCGUUGUAUUAGCUAGUAGGUGAGGUAACGGCUCACCUAGGCGACGAUACAUAGCCGACCUGAGAGGGUGAUCGGCCACACUGGGACUGAGACACGGCCCAGACUCCUACGGGAGGCAGCAGUAGGGGAUCUUCGGCAAUGGGGGCAACCCUGACCGAGCAACGCCGCGUGAGUGAAGAAGGUUUUCGGAUCGUAAAGCUCUGUUGUAAGUCAAGAACGAGUGUGAGAGUGGAAAGUUCACACUGUGACGGUAGCUUACCAGAAAGGGACGGCUAACUACGUGCCAGCAGCCGCGGUAAUACGUAGGUCCCGAGCGUUGUCCGGAUUUAUUGGGCGUAAAGCGAGCGCAGGCGGUUUGAUAAGUCUGAAGUUAAAGGCUGUGGCUCAACCAUAGUUCGCUUUGGAAACUGUCAAACUUGAGUGCAGAAGGGGAGAGUGGAAUUCCAUGUGUAGCGGUGAAAUGCGUAGAUAUAUGGAGGAACACCGGUGGCGAAAGCGGCUCUCUGGUCUGUCGCUGACGCUGAGGCUCGAAAGCGUGGGGAGCGAACAGGAUUAGAUACCCUGGUAGUCCUCGCCGUAAACGAUGAGUGCUAGGUGUUGGGUCCUUUCCGGGAUUCAGUGCCGCAGCUAACGCAUUAAGCACUC